GUCGUGUAUUAAUUGUUAAAAUUGUCACAAAAUUGUGUGUUUUAAAAGCUUUGUACCUUAUUCUAAGUGGAAAUUGUGUCCUUAAUACUAAUAGUACGGUGAAAAUAGUACGGCAAAACAAACUACAAAACUAUAGUACGCCUAUUAUACAUUUAUGCCGUCUAAAAACUAAGAAAACACUACUGUGAAAGUUAUGUGCAAGAAAAUGGUCCACGAAUGGGCCUUUUCUUUUACUUACAAGCUACAUCCACGACAGGCUCUUGGUGGCAAUCCAAGAGGCCUAAUCCUCACGCACGCUGAUUUCAAGGUUAUGUUACCUAGCUCGAGGACCUCAUUCCGAGCGAAACUGCCAUCCGGCAUCUCCCACAAACGCCGGCAGAAGCACAGCGACAGAAUACCUAUUGUCUGAAGACGUGUAUUGUUCAGACCGCUUCCCAAGCCAUAUCCGCCAUCUUGAAUCGGCCAUUCCGCCGAUGUAGCAAGCUGUCCCACAUGCCGACCCUUCCCAUCGCCGACAGCUUACGGCCAUCAUCAAUCUCAACCGAAAGCGGCCCGUCGCCGCUUGUUCCACAUCAUCAAGCUCGUCAAGAUGUCGACGUGGCCCGUCUCCGCCAGUGCCGCAGCAUUAAGCAGUGGCCACUUGCUGUUCAACGGAAUCACCGAGGAUCCGGAUCCUGAGCAUGACGAUGCU